GUGAAGAAUAUUGGUCAAUGGGCGAGAGCCUGAACCAGCCAAGUCGCGUGAAGGAAGAAGGAUCUAUGGUUCGUAAACUUCUUUUGCAGGGGAAUAAAGUGCGGGACGUGUCCUGUUUUGUAUGUACCCUGAGAAUAAGGAUCGGCUAACUCCGUGCCAGCAGCCGCGGUAAUACGGAGGAUCCGAGCGUUAUCCGGAUUUAUUGGGUUUAAAGGGUGCGUAGGUGGUUUGAUAAGUCAGCGGUGAAAGUUUGCAGCUUAACUGUAAAAAUGCCGUUGAAACUGUCGGACUUGAGUGUAAAUGAGGUAGGCGGAAUGCGUGGUGUAGCGGUGAAAUGCAUAGAUAUCACGCAGAACUCCGAUUGCGAAGGCAGCUUACUAAGCUACAACUGACACUGAAGCACGAAAGCGUGGGGAUCAAACAGGAUUAGAAACCCUAGUAGUCC
rnacentral:rRNA from 1 species